UGAUAAUGUUAACGCAACCCCUAUAUUCAGGUGCUGACAAGAACUUGGCGACAAGUAAAACAGCUCAGACGAGGACUGAAGGAGUCAAUGGUAUGGCAGUUAUUGGAGGCCCGACCUGAUGUGGCAUCUGUGAUAUUUCCAAGAAAGUCAAUGGCUGACUGCAGUACACAGGUUCUCUUAAACAACAUCAUCUGGCCCAUGGAAGAUGAAGAGGGGGACAAUGAACCCCCAUUUACCACCCAAUGCAGAAUUUCAGGGUACCUUAGGAAGUUUGUGGAGACUGGUAUGUUAAUUUGUACUUUACUAAUAGCAAAACUAGGCAUUGAGCUGCUUGGUGCUGAUACAAAUCCAUAUACAGACAAAUCUUUUCUGUUUGCAUCAUUGAUGAAUAUUUAACAGGUCUUUACAUUAACUUGCAUAGGUAUUGUAAAAUUUGUGUUUUAAUAACUUAUGUUCUUCAUAUAUCUGCUCCAUUUCAGCUGAUCAAUGUAAAUUGAAACAGCUGGUCAAAUUCUGGGUGGGCUGGGAGCUGCCAAUGAAGGACACGCAGGUGAAAGUUGUGCAGGCAGAAAACCCUACAUCCUCCACCUGUUUUUGCAUUCUUCGUCUACCAGCUAAUUACACAACCUAUGACCAUUUCAGAAAACACCUAGAAAGCUGUACUGCCACUAGUGAUGUUGGUUUUGGCCU
ensembl:lncRNA